GACGAACGCUGGCGGCGUGCUUAACACAUGCAAGUCGAACGGAAAGGCCCUGCUCUUGUUGCGUGCUCGAGUGGCGAACGGGUGAGUAACACGUGAGUAACCUGCCCUUGACUUUGUGAUAUCUUUAGGAAACUCGGGCUCAUACCGGAUAUGAUCUCCUGCUCCAUGUUGUUGGUUGGAAAGUUUCGGUGGUUGUGGAUGGACUCGCGGCUUAUCAGCUUGUUGGUGGGGUAGUGGCUUACCAAGGCUUUGACGGAUAGCCUGCCUGAGAGGGUGACCGGCCACAUGGGGACUGAGAGACGGCGCAGACGCGUACGGGAGGCAGCAGGGGGGAGUAUUGCAGAAUGAGGGGAAGCCAGAGGCAGAGACGCCGCGUGCGGGAAGACGGGUUUCGGGUUGUGAACAGAUUUCGAAUGUGACGAGGAGUGAGUGACGGUAAUGGGUAAAGAAGCACCGGCUAACUACGUG
rnacentral:rRNA from 1 species